rnacentral:rRNA from 1 species
GUCAAAGCGUUCAUUAAAGUCGAGUUGGCUUAGGGAUACGUUCGUUGGGUAGGGGAGCGUUCUGUAAGCCUGUGAAGGUGUGUCGUGAGGCAUGCUGGAGGUAUCAGAAGUGCGAAUGCUGACAUAAGUAACGAUAAAGCGGGUGAAAAGCCCGCUCGCCGGAAGACCAAGGGUUCCUGUCCAACGUUAAUCGGGGCAGGGUGAGUCGACCCCUAAGGCGAGGCCGAAAGGCGUAGUCGAUGGGAAACGGGUUAAUAUUCCCGUACUUGGUGUUACUGCGAAGGGGGGACGGAGAAGGCUAUGUUGGCCGGGCGACGGUUGUCCCGGUUUAAGCGUGUAGGUGUGUGUUCCAGGUAAAUCCGGUUCACUUUAACACUGAGGCGUGACGACGAGGCACUACGGUGCU